rnacentral:rRNA from 1 species
CAUAAUGUCGCAAGACCAAAGAGGGGGACCUUCGGGCCUCUUGCCAUCGGAUGUGCCCAGAUGGGAUUAGCUUGUUGGUGGGGUAACGGCUCACCAAGGCGACGAUCCCUAGCUGGUCUGAGAGGAUGACCAGCCACACUGGAACUGAGACACGGUCCAGACUCCUACGGGAGGCAGCAGUGGGGAAUAUUGCACAAUGGGCGUAAGCCUGAUGCAGCCAUGCCGCGUGUAUGAAGAAGGCCUUCGGGUUGUAAAGUACUUUCAGCGGGGAGG